rnacentral:rRNA from 1 species
GAUGAACGCUGGCGGCGUGCUUAACACAUGCAAGUCGAACGGUGAAGCAGGAGCUUGCUCUUGUGGAUCAGUGGCGAACGGGUGAGUAACACGUGAGCAACCUGCCCCUGACUCUGGGAUAAGCGCUGGAAACGGCGUCUAAUACUGGAUAUGUGAUGUGACCGCAUGGUCUGCAUCUGGAAAGAAUUUCGGUUGGGGAUGGGCUCGUGGCCUAUCAGCUGGUUGGUGAGGUAAUGGCUCACCAAGGCGUCGACGGGUAGCCGGCCUGAGAGGGGGACCGGCCACACCGGGACUGAGACACGGCCCAGACUCCUACGGGAGGCAGCAGUGGGGAAUAUUGCACAAUGGGCGGAAGCCUGAUGCAGCAACGCCGCGUGAGGGAUGACGGCCUUCGGGUUGUAAACCUCUUUUAGCAGGGAAGAAGCGAAAGUGACGGUACCUGCAGAAAAAGCACCGGCUAACUACGUGCCAGCAGCCGCCGCCG